rnacentral:rRNA from 1 species
GUGGGGAAUCUUGCGCAAUGGGCGAAAGCCUGACGCAGCCAUGCCGCGUGAAUGAUGAAGGUCUUAGGAUUGUAAAAUUCUUUCACCGGGGACGAUAAUGACGGUACCCGGAGAAGAAGCCCCGGCUAACUUCGUGCCAGCAGCCGCGGUAAUACGAAGGGGGCUAGCGUUGCUCGGAAUUACUGGGCGUAAAGGGCGCGUAGGCGGACAGUUUAGUCAGAGGUGAAAGCCCAGGGCUCAACCUGGGAAUUGCCUUUGAUACUUGCUGUCUUGAGUACGGGAGAGGUGAGUGGAACUCCGAGUGUAGAGGUGAAAUUCGUAGAUAUUCGGAAGAACACCAGUGGCGAAGGCGACUCACUGGCCCAUUACUGACGCUGAGGCGCGAAAGCGUGGGGAGCAAACAGGAUUAGAAACCCCUGUAGUCC